AUAAAAUAUUUUAUUUUCUUACAAAACAAUAUUUAUAGAGUUACCGGUAAAUAAUUUUUGUAGCAUAAAAGCUAAAUAAAUUCAUACAUACUGUAAUACAGAUAACCAAAGCAUAAGAUUUAAUUUACAGUGACACGUGGGCCCACAACGACCAAAAGUAUCAAAAACGGUAAACUUAUAGUUUUUGAGGAUGCAAUUUCAACUGUAGCCCUCAACGAAAUGAGCUAUCUACCAACUAUCCUGAGCCUAAAAGGGGUAAAAAGGAGGGUGGUGAGAGUAUAUAAUCCCAGUGAGUAAACAAAUACCAUCUAAAAUAUCUAAAGCUGAGUAAAUGGAGACAGAUAAAAUAGAUUAGCAUAAAAAUGAUUCAUAGCAUUUCGAAUUCAUUUUAAUAAGAUAAAAUAGAUUCAUUUCACCAAAAUAAACAACGAAGCUUAUGAUUUUCUGAAAAGCUUGGCUCGUGCCAAAAUCAUUCUCAUACUCAGUUAUCAGGGAUACCUUGGCUUGGGGUUAUCCCAACCGAGUCCGCCAAGGCUGUUAAAAAGUCAUGUACGCAUAAAUCAUGUUUUUAUUUUGAAAACAUAGCCGUUCCUUAGCAUUGGCUGAGUUCAUCCUCACGUGGUGGUUUGGCAUGAAGUGAACUCUAAAGUUGUACCUCGGGAGUUACCCUAUGCGCCUCCCCAAAUGAGGUAAGAAUAUAACAGGAUUUCGUGCCCCUCAAAAAGGCUAGUCCACAAAACCCGCCCACUGCAACAAGCUAAACCCACCAUAUAAUAAAAUUUGCAAUAGCAUGACAUGGUAAUUAUUUUAUUUUAGAGCCUCUUAAGGCAAAUCAACAGUUCAUACAUUUUCAGCACAUUUACCAAUUCAGCAAUUCAUGCAAAUAUUGUCAUAAGCCAUUCGAUUCAAACCAUGAAUUUAUAACACAAUAAUUAGUCUCCAAUUACUUUAUUUUCAAAACCAUCAUUCAAUUUCAAGACAAUUUUAUAAAAUCAUUUCAUUUAAUCACAUUUUUGCUUAUAAAACAUAAAGAUUUAUCAUUUAAACUCAUUUUCCAUAAAAUCACAAAAACGAAUUAAAAUGCACUUCAGAUAAUCAAGAUGAUGAUAGGGUUACUCACUGUAUCAGGAGUUUGAAAUACUCCUAUUCUCAGUCCUCUAACACAAUGUCUUUACCCUUGUUAGAGGGCUGACCACCUAUAUACAAUACACAACACAUAAUUCAAUAUACUGUGUUAUACCAUUAUAAAUCUAUUUCAAGCUCUUUACUAAUGCAUGAAAUGGGAUGUGAAAUGCUCGGGUAACCAUUUAAAUACGGUAUUCAAUAUAAGUGCAAUUGUGUAUCUAAAUAAAAUAGUAUUGACCUAAUUCGAUCUAUCACCCGAUUAAUUAGCCAAUAUGUCCAAUUCAACUCCAAAUAAUUCCAUUUUCUCCCAAUACUCCAAAUCAUCAAACACAAAUUAAAUAACUUGAAAUAUGGCAAAAUCAUCCUCACAUUUUCUGUAAAACCUGACCCUAUAAAUACAUGUCAUGACAUACAUGCACUGAGUAGCAUGUUAUUAUGCUAGGAAAGCACCUAAGAAAAGACGAAACCCGAUAUCGUACCUAACGGUACACUUGAGUUGAUUUAACCUCGAACUAGUUCAAAUAGGAAUUGUAGGAUAUAAUUUAAUAUUUUAUAGUCCAGGAAUGACUAAAAAUGAUUGUUCGGAGUUCGAGGGUUCAUUUGGGGUAAAAUUGGAAAUUUUGAUGUUCAAGGGCAAAAUCGUCAUUUUGCCAUCUAAGAUAAUAAUUUGAUCAUGGAGUGAAAUUUUUGACCAAGACGAACUAUUUGGAGUAUAAUUUAAUGAUAGGAAGUGAAAAAGUUUACUUUUGGUGAUUUUUGGAGUGUAGGGGCAAAAUCAUAAUUUUACCACCCGCGGACAAAAUUUGAGAUUUUGAGAGAAUUUAGAUCAAAUUUGACAAAUUGGAGAAUGGUAUGAGUAUAAGGGAUGAAAAAUAUGUCUAUGGGCAAUUUUUCAAUUUUUGGGGCAAAAAUGUAAUUUUUGACUUUUACGGGGGCAAAAGUGUAAAUUUCAAAAAUUACUCCACCGAGACUUUGGAUAAGUCUGAGAAUUUUAUCUAAGCUAUGGAUAUGUGGGACAAGUGUAUGGUGAAAAUUUGGAAACAAAUGGAUGAAAUUUUAAAAAUGGGCCAAUGGGAAAGUGACACGUGGCAUUUUUUAAUGAAAUAAUAUUAUUUUAAUGAAAAGUCAGCCCAUUUAAACCCCAUUUUAAGUGCUGGCCGGCCAUAAGGAAGAACAAGAGAGGAAAUAGAGAGGAAAGGAAGAAAAAAAGAAAAACCAAAGAGAAACAAGAAAAUUCAAAGGGAAAUUCGCGGUUUUCGACCGUUUACGCGUCUAACGGUAAGAUUUUUCGAUUUUAGCUUGAUUUCUACCUUUCCUAUGCCUUUAUUUCCAUUUAGCAUGCUUGAGGAGAGAGAUCAAAAAGUGAUAUCAAGGGCUGGACGAAAUUCUAGGGGAGAGAAAUUGAAAUUUUUAGGUUUUGAUUUUUAGUUAAAUUGAUAGUUUUAGUUAGUUAAAUGUGUUUAGAAAUUAAAUUGGGCAAGAAAUCAUUAAAUUUUCACAAUACCCACUCUUGGCUGGAUGCUCAAUGCUGUACAAUGAUGAUGAAUUGAUUUUAUUCUAAGGAAAAUGAAGAGAAAAUGAUGAAAAACGAUUAAACGUGAUAGAAAAACAAAGUAGAAAAUUAACCGAGUUAAUGUCCCAUUUUUGGCCGAAUUUUCCAAGGAAGGGAGUGAGCUGAUUUUGUUGUUUUUAGAAGGUUAUUGGCUGAUAUUUAAUGGUUAGAAAUGUUGGAGAGAGAAUGGGAUGAUUUAGAGCUAAAAUGGAGCGCGUUAGCAAUUUAUCGGGCAAAGUGCCAAAAAUAGGUUAAUACCGCGUUUAAGCCGUUUUAGGCUAUUGCAUUUCAUACCAUGCAUUAGUAUAGGAUUUAAGUUAAUUAUAUAGUGAUUUAGCAUCAAUGUGAUGAAUUGUGUAAAUUUUUGUAAUGUGUCUAGGAGGAGAGCCUUCCGGAAAAGGCAAAGAAGUCGUACCCGACGAGUAGUGAUCGGGGCGCUUAGAAAGCUUUUAGUUUGUACAAACGGUGAGUAAACUUAUUAUUAUUGUAAAUUAUCUAGAGUUUAUUUUUAAAUGCCCUUUAUGUAUUUUAUGAAAUGAAAACGAGAUUAAAACGGGAUUUUUGAUGUUUUAGGAAUAAAUGUGACAAAUAAAAAUAUAUUGUAUUGAUUAUGAAAUUGAGUAAUUGGAGGCUACAAAUUGACUUGAAAAAUAUAUAUUUUCCUAGGAAUGGCUUAUGAGAAAUGAGUAUAUGUGGCUAUAUUUUGUGAAUGCAUUGGGAAAUUUAUGUAAGUUGUUUUACUAUGCAGGCUGGAUAAAUAAAUAAAAGCCACGUUAUACUGUCGAAAUUUUAUUAAAAUUGGUGGGUUAGUCACUGCAGUGACGGGUUUCCGUGGACUGCCUAUUAGAGGGGCACGGUAAACCCAGUUAUAUAGUUACUCCGGUUGUAGAGGCGAGGAGGGUAACUCCUGGGGUAGUAUUAGAGCUCACUUCACGUCGAACCCCCACGUGAAUGUGUAACUCGGCCAACGCCAAGGAACGGCUGGUUUUAAAAAUAAAAAUGUGUUUCACGUGUGAAUAUUUUAACACCCUUGGCGGACUCGGUUAGAUGCCUCGGCCAAGGUAUCCCCGAGGAUUAGUUUUGGCUUGAGCCUUGUUUUAAUAAAAGACAUAAGCCUUAACAACUGUUUUGGUAAAUUACAAAUAUUUUAUGGUUUAAGAAAUAAAUUGAAAACAUUAUGAAAUGGGUUGAAAUUUGUUGUUUAAACUUGCCUCCAUUUUACUCGCCUUUAGAUAUUUAUGAUAAUGUCUGUUUACUCAUUGGGAUUGCAAAAUCUCACCCAACUCCUUUCCACCCAUUUCAGGUUCAGUAUAGACUGUAGAUAGCUGAUCUCAUCGAGGACUACCAUUGGAUCUGCAUUUUCCAAACCGUAGGUUCACAGUCCUCUUUACUUUUGUUUAUUCGGGGGCCCUCUUGUUAUUGUAAAUUAAAUUAAAUAUUUUGGCUUACUGUAUUUCAGUAUGUAUAAAUUUAUUUAGCUUUUAAGCUAUAAAAAUUAUUCACGUAUAACUCUAUAAAUAUUGUUUUAUAAGAAAAUAGAAUAUUUCCCUUAAUAUUUCUUUUAUUUUCUUAUUAUAUUCAAAUAACCGUAAUUUCGUUUUAAAUGAAGAUUUUAGACUUUUAAACUCAUUUUGAAUAUGAAUUAUGUGUUUUGUACUUGUAUAUUAUGUUUUAGCCAGUUUCAAAAUUUUUGAAAAGAAAUGACCAAAAUACCCUUGUGUGGCGAAAAUUUUAUUUUGAUUGUUUUUUAUCUAAAAUAGUGUAUAUUCUCUAAAAACUCGAUAUUUAACAAUGAUUGCUCACAGGAAAGGAAAGAAACUGAUAUGUAAGCCUUGCGAGGUUCCGGUUGGCAUUCCGGAUAAUGAGUGUCAAUCGGGAUGUUGCGACGAUUGUCAUGGGCCUGAGGGAGGUUCCGGGUUGUGACAUAUUCUCUUGAAAAAUUCGGCCAUGGAGGGUUCACUAACAAUAUAAGCUUGAUUCUCACACCAUAAAUCACUAAUUUCUAACCAAAUCACUUGAAAUAAAAUCAAAAUCAUCAUCAAUAUUCCACAUGGAGAAUUCGGCCAAUGAGCGUUAUGAAGAACAUGAAUUUUUCUUGCUUGAUUUUCAUGCUACACAUCACCAAUCAACUAAAAACACUAGAAUAUCUUAAAAUCUAACCAAAACAACCAUCAAAAUCUCUCUCUAAGUGUUCGGCCAGCAAGAGACCCAUCAUGAAAUCAUGUGAUUCAACCAUGGAAAAUGCAAAAGAAUGUAUGGGAAAGGUAGAUCACAAGUCAAAAUCAAGAAAUUUUACCUUUGAUUGCUUGAUUACUUGAAAUCCACCAUUUUUCUCUUGAAUUUUCACUCUAGGGUUUUUGUUCUUUCUUUUCUUCCUUUAUUCUUGCAUUGGCCAGCCAUAAGAAUGAAUGUGGAAGAGUUUAAAUUGGCUUUAUAAAGGAAAAUAUUAAAUGGACAAAAAUUUACCAUGUGUCACCAUUCCAUUAGUCC
rnacentral:lncRNA from 1 species